GUCUUAUGUUCUCAGCACUCGGGGUGCUUGUCAACCAGCCUUUUGGUCUGCAUUUGAAAGUCCCCUUCCAGAGCCUCGAGGCAAUCUCUGGGGCCCCUGGAUCCCUGCUGAGGUGCCCAUGGUCCCCUCCAUCCCCACAGGGCAGCCUGUGUAGUGCUGGGUAGGGCCCAGGCCUGUCCCACGGAAGACAUGGCCCCAUCUAGGUUCCGCACUCAGUUGGAGGUAAGCUUGUCUCCAAUGUUCUCAUUUUCUCCUGCACCAACAUCGUGGGUGUCUGCACCCACUAUCCGGCUGAGGUCUCCCAGAGACAGGCUUUCCAGGAGACCCGAGAGUGCAUCCAGGCGCGGCUCCACUCGCAGCGGGAGAACCAGCAGCAGGAACGGCUCCUGCUGUCUGUCCUUCCCCGUCAUGUUGCCAUGGAGAUGAAAGCAGACAUCAACGCCAAGCAGGAGGAUAUGAUGUUCCAUAAGAUUUACAUCCAGAAACAUGACAACGUGAGCAUCCUGUUUGCUGACAUCGAGGGCUUCACCAGCCUGGCGUCCCAGUGCACUGCACAGGAACUGGUCAUGACCCUCAACGA
rnacentral:lncRNA from 1 species